UACGAGGGGGGCGAGCGUUGUUCGGAAUUAUUGGGCGUAAAGGGCGCGUAGGCGGUUUGGUAAGUCUGAUGUGAAAUCUAUGGGCUCAACUCAUAGUCUGCAUUAGAAACUGCCGGGCUUGAGUGUGGGAGAGGUGAGUGGAAUUCCUGGUGUAGCGGUGAAAUGCGUAGAUAUCAGGAGGAACACCUGUGGUGUAGACAGCUUACUGGACCGCCUCUGACGCUGAGACACGAAAGCGUGGGUAGCAAACAGG
rnacentral:rRNA from 1 species